rnacentral:piRNA from 1 species
CAGGCAUGUAUGAUGACGGAACUUUUUU